rnacentral:misc_RNA from 1 species
AUCUGCACAAAUUUUGACAAGGGGUGCACUUAUAUCACAUCCUAUAUAAAAGCAAUCAGGAUUUAAGCCCAAGUACUUGCCAUUUCCACAUCCUGCAUCCAAUAUGACAGAUCCAGAAGGCAAGGAAUUCAAAAAGGUUGCAACUUUCGGCCACUUGGAGAACCUGGUGGAACUAAAAUGAGGUGCAAUAGCAUCAUAAACACGAUGAACAUACUUCUUUUCAAUUUCAGGGGUGGACUGCACAGUUGAGGAAGAUGAACAUGUCUUUUGUUCAGCCACUGAAACAGAUUCUCCAUUAAAUGAAAGAGUACACAAGCCAGAAGAUUCUGUCACCUUCACUUUGACUUCUCUCAUAGUUUUGAAGAUUCCAG